rnacentral:rRNA from 1 species
CCUACGGGAGGCAGCAGUGAGGAAUAUUGGUCAAUGGGAGGAAUCCUGAACCAGCCAUGCCGCGUGCAGGACGACGGCUCUACGAGUUGUAAACUGCUUUUGUACCGGGGUAAAAUGCUCUACGAGUAGGGUUUUGAACGUACGGUACGAAUAAGGACAGGCUCACUCCGUGCCAGCAGCCGCGGUAAUACGGAGGAUCCGAGCGUUAUCCGGAGUCAAUGGGUGUAAAGGGUUCGUAGGUUGUUUUAUAAGUUAGCGUUGAAAUACCGAUGCUAAACAUCGGGGCUUCCGCUAAUACUGUAGGACUAGGGAUCGGAUGCAGCAGGGGGAAUGUGUAGGGUAGCGGUGAAAGGGA